GGGACAUGCCGCUGCCGGCACCCCGCUCGCUGGCCGGGCGAGGAGAGGCCGGUCUGGGGUGCGGGCAGGGCGGCGGGCAAACUCCUGGCCCGUAAGCCGAUCAGCAUCCCCGGGAGCAGAUUGGGGCUCGGGCUUAGCGCGCUGACAUCAGGGCGCAUCUGACAAUGCGAUUUGCUCGGGCGGCGCGGCACACAGCGGGGCUGCUGGCGGCGGUGCGGAGAGGGGCUGCCGGCACGGAGCGGGGGGCACUCCGCGUGUGGGAGCUGCAGCGGGCACGGGGCCCGCGAGCGGGGCAACUGCGGCUUCUUAGAGAUGUGCCAAGCACGUAUUUCUAACGGAAGGCACCUAGGCAUUAGACUGGGAGGAGUGACGGGUGCACAAACUGAGUUUCUGCAUUGCCGUAGUUGUUCUGUAACUCUUUUUCACAUGCUAUGGAUUGGCACAUGGGUCCAGGGAGGGAAGACCUACCAGUCAACCCAGUGGGAUACUCCGUUUCUUCACUCAGCUCUUGUGAGGCCACACCUAGAGUACUGUGCACGACUUUGGGCCCCUCACAACAAGAAAUACACUGAGGCUCCGGAGUGUGUCCAGAGAAGGGCAAUGAAGCUGGUCUGGAGCACAAGGAAUGGCUGAGAGAGAUGGGAUUGUUUAGUCUGGAGGAGGGUCAGGGGAGACCUCAUCACUCACUACAGCUCUCUGAAGGGAGGCUAUGGCCAGGUGGGGGUCAGCCUUUUCUUCCAUUCAUUCCAGAAUGACAGGGAAUGGCUUUAAGUUGCAGCAGUUCAGGUUGGAUAUGAGGAAAAAUUUAUUCUCCGGAAGAGUGGUGAGAUGUUGGAACAGGGUGCCCACGGAGGUGGUGGAGUCACUGUUCCUGGAGGUUUUCAAGACGUAGAUGUCACACUGAGAGAUGUGGGUUAGUGGGCAUGGUGGUAGUGGACUGACAGUUGGACUGCAUGGUCUUAGUGGUCUUUUCCAACCUUCUAUGAUCCUGUGAUUGUUUCAACAGCACUUUGAGGUGAACCUCACGUACGUGAGAGGCUUUAGCAGUUAGUUGUCUGGGGUCCAUGUCUGCAGUGAAGGAAACGAGCAUUCUGCAGUGAGUUGAGGCAGAGUGUGAGACGAUUUUUGAAUUAAAAGAAAGCGUCGAUUUUAGAGUCACAGAGAAGCAUGAGUAACAGGGUCUGGGCAGUGGAUGCUCACAGCUUUGCAAGAGUACCCCAUACAAAACCAGACCUCAGUGUUGCCACCAUGCCAGGGGGCUUUUGCCAAUGCCAAGCUGCAAGGCGGGAGUGCGGCGUCUAGCAGACGGAUAUCUGUAAUCAGAAUUAGCAACAGAUAGUGCCCUGAUUGGCUGCCUCUGCAAAGAGGCUAACCCGGGAAGAAAUGGGAUUAAACUGCUCCCUCACCUCCAGGCAUCCCGGGGAUCACUGCUUCAUGUUUGAAGUAGUGCUCGCACUGAUGCUGCCCAUCUCCAGACAAGUUUUCAUGUAAAGAAAGGCUCCCUGGCACCGUCGCUCCUAUCUCUCUGCUUCCAAAUCUCAUGCUUUGGACUUGGUCUAAAUUACAGCAUGACAGCACUGUUAAGUUUCAGGGCUCCAUUCAGAGAACUUUCUGUUUCCCGCUCAGCUGGUGUGGCCAUCUGUCCAGCCAACACAACUCUAUCUCUUAGAGCACCACUUGUACUUUGGAAGAACUUCAGCUUUCCUUAAAAUCCUGAUGCUGACAGGGAGCAUUUGCACUGCUGUCAGGCAGAACUUACCGUAGGAGCUCAGUGCCCAGAAAGGCUCCUGCCUGUGGUAACUCUGAGCAGCAGAAAAAGUAGAAGAGUGAAUUCUAACAGAAUAGGAACAAAUAUUUUCUUUAAGGUGUCAGAUUAAUACAGAGCAUGCACUAUGCUUCACUUUUCAUUUUUCACUUUUACAACUGCUGCUGAGGCUGUUGGUUAGUCUCUGUGCAACGCGACAAUGAGCAACAAGACACCACAGAAGGGUGCAGCGUAUUGCAUGCAGACCCUUCCUUGGCCACCCAAGACGAUGCUGCAGAUCUUGGUCCUGCCAGCACGAUGCCGAUCUGCUUGAGCACAGCCAUAUAGGAUGCCUGUGUACCCUUUUUGAAGUUCUGGGGGUGUUUCCCUCUUCCUCAGAUGAGCUCUUUGCAAAAAUCCUGCAAACAAGAGAAGAUGAGGCUGGUGAGAUACUCAAGGUAAUGUAAUGGAGGGAUAUAAGCGUCAUAAUCCAAAGCUCCACUGCAGGAAGCCACGUACUUAAGUCUUUUGGGACAAUUUCCUCAGAACUGUGAAAAACUACUGUUGCAGCAUGCUCCUGGUAAGGCACUGCACUUCUUAUGUGCUGUUUUGAUAUUUUUGGAGGUGGUGUAUAGAAGGCUGAUGGUGAAGGAGCAAGCGAAGUGAAAGGGGAAGCGAGAUGGAUGGAGUUCCCCAUAGCUGCUCUUUUCAAAUUUACUGUAGGCUGUGUUAAUGAUGAAGGUCCUUGAGGCUUCCAAGAAUUCCCCAGUGUGAAACUUCUGUGUUUGCAUUUCUCUUGAUUUCUGUCUGAGGGAAUUCCUUGGGAAAAAACUGAUGAAAAUUUCUUUUCAGUGUUCAUAUGUUGUUUCAUUAAGAUACUGAGGAAAACAGAAGUUUGCAUAAAAUCCCUGGCUGGGGCUCUGCCUCGUCUGAAGAGUGGGUUCAAAAAAUCCCCACUGCAUUUGUUUUUUAUUUUUUCAGUUUGCAUAUUCUUUCUUAAAAUACUACACACGUGCACACGGUGUGUACAUUCUUUGUUUGAAAUGCCAGUUUCUGUCUUUUUUGUUGGAUGAAGGCUAAGGAACAUAGAGAGUGGGAGAGCAAAACAUUUCUCCAAUUGUAAGUUUAAUUUUCUUUUCCUGGGUUUUACUAUAUUUUGAAUCAUAGAAUCACCAAGGUUGGAAAAGACCCACAGGAUCACCCAGUCCAACCAUCCACCCAUCACCAAUGGUUCUCACUAAACCAUGUCCCUCAACACAACGUCUAAACGUUCCUUGAACACAUCCAGGGUCGGUGACUCCACCACCUCCCUGGGCAGCCCAUUCCAGUGCCUAACAUAAUACAUAAUACAUAAUGUUAUUUUGAUAACGUAAUACUUCACUAGAAGUGAAUAAGUUACAAAAAUGACUAGGGAAAUAUCCCCUAGAUAUAUUCACUUUCUAAAUUAUAAAUACUGAAUCAUCUGAUUUUUUCAACUGUAUUAGCAUGCAUGAGAAGGUAUCUGCAAACUGUUGUUUUGCUUCUAGUGUAGCAGAGGGCUCCCCACUUACCUGUGAAAAGAUGUCACUCAGAUUUUCCACAUAUCUGUGGGUGCUUUCAGCCUUUCUAGCACUAAGUUUUGGCUCUGGGAUGUUCAGGAUAUGGCUUUACAGUUUGGAAGAGGUUCAGGUGGUAUUUAACUUCAAGCCAUGGGUACCAAGUGCUAGCCAAUUACCACAGACAUGUGCCAGUCUCCCCCUGCUGUAGUCCUGCGUCAGUAAACUGUAAGCAAUUUUGCCUAAUACAAACUGGGAGUCGGUCCCUGCUAUCUAAUGCAAUCCACUAGCGGAAAAGCACUGUCAGAAAAACAGAAACAGAAAUAUUUUUUCCAAGUAAAAAAAUUAAAGACAAAGUCUGAAAGUUUCGCUGCCAAAUGUAUUCGUUUCGAGUGUGUUUGUCUCAUGAACACUCCUGUGAGAAUUUGGAGCACUUUAGAGUAGAGCUUGCACCAUGGCAUGCUUCAGCACAGAGCCUGAGUUCCUGUUGUAAAGGUGAAUAUCGUUCUCAUUUUAUAGGCGCUGAAAUUGAAUUAGAGAGUAUUUAGAUGCAGCAGAGCAAUGCAUAAUGUGACUUUAAGCAUACAAAUGUCUUAUUUUGGAACUACUCAAAUGCUUUAAACAAGUCAUGGUUUAAAUGGCUUGUCCAAAACCAUACAGCCAGGAAGAUGAGGGAGAGGGUCCGGCUCCUUACUGAGUUCUUUAAAGAAAGUAUCCUAAAUAUAAAUAGCACAUCUCCAUCGAGGCUACAGGUGCUCAUAUUGAAGCUGUUUCUCUUUUUGGAAUGUAAUGAAUGCUGGCCAGCAAAUAUUGUAAAAGGUACUUUGUGACAUCGAAGUCAACACAGUAAUUAUAUUCAAUAUCCUGUGUUUUUGUCAGGCUUUCUUCUAGACAACUGAAUAUAAACUAGAGCACUGAUAAGCAAAGUAUUCUCCAGGAAGGAUACAAGACUACUUUAUUGCUUCACAUAACUUUUUUUUCAGUUUGCACUUACAUGGUAUCAAAGUAAUAUCACAUUGAAAACGUGACUGUGUGUGCAAGGAGUCGUGCUUCAGAGGAGGAGUUCUUUUCUCUUUCCUGUCUCUUCCAGAGAUAACUGGUCUUUCUGGCAUUAACUGGUGGUUUCACCGGAGCACGCAGCAUUGUGAUUAACCAGGGGCUUCAACUGAAAGGCAUGCAUGCAUUUUUGCAAUUUAAUGAUAAAGAUAUGUGUGCUUUGAAAACAUAUUAGAAACUUGUAGAAUGACUGUGGGGCUAUUAUUAUUUUCAUAUUGUGCCCUGCUAGCUUUCAUCACCUCUAACAGGAUCAUACUGUUUCUCAUCUUUGCAGAAAUGUGAUGUUCUUGAAGGAGAUUUCUUUUUCCUGGAAACAUUUAAGUUGUCAUGUUGCCAGGUUAAAAUAAAGACUCUUGUCUCAUCCAAAAGUUUCCUUCCUUCUUGGUGCUUUUGUAAUGCAGUUUCCACAAAUUGCAAACAUCAUGGGACUUGUCCCAAGAGAUGCUCAAGGAAAAACUGAAUGUUAUACAUGUAGCAUACCCCCUUACAAACCAUACCUCCCAUUUGAUCAUCAUUUAUGCAGUUCAAAAUGUCUUACUCUGUUGUUCCUCCUUCCUCAGCACCUUUUGGCAAGAAAAUACCCUUCCUUUUAUUUUCUAUGGAAGAAAUCAUAGACUCAUAGAAUGGCCUGGGUUGAAAAGGACCACAAAGAUCAUGUAGUUUCACCCCCCCUGCUAUGUGCAGGGUCUCCAACCACCAGACCAGGCUGCCCAGAGCCACAUCCAGCCUGGCCUUGAAUGCCUCCAGGGAUGGGGCAUCCGCAACCUCCUUGGGCAACCUGUUCCACUGCGUCACCACCCUCUGAGUGAAAAACUUCCUCCUAAUAUCCAACCUAAACCUCUUUGUGGUGCAUGGUUCGAUUGAUUGUUGUCUUGUACAGCUGUCUUCUGUAUGGGUAUAGUCUAUGAAAAUGAGGAGCUGUCACUGUUGAGAAAUAUAUUAUGGAUCUUUUUUGCCCUCUGUACUGAGCUAGUUGGAAAGUAAUACCACACUGAGAGUACAAUAUCUUCUUUCUGUGUUGUUCUCGUAAAAUACAUUCUCUUUACAGAUCCAAAAAAGUGUGCUUCUGAUUCAGUAAAGGAUGUAUAAGAAUCGCAUGGUUUUAUUUUCUCUUGAUGCAUUCUGUGAAUUUAGUGUGACUUCCUUUUUAUUGCUUCUUGAAUAUCCAGCAACAAGAAAGUCUUCAGCUUUCUCUGUAAGAAGGCAGCAUUGAGGGAUGAAAUUUUCACAGUCAAACUACUUCACAAACA
ensembl:lncRNA